rnacentral:rRNA from 1 species
ACGAACGUUGGCGGCGUGCUUAAUACAUGCAAGUCAACUGAAGCAUCGGUAGUAAUACUGGUGUGGAGGUGGCGCACGGGUGAGUAACACGUAGGUAAUCUGCCUUCAGGUCUGACAUAACCCCGAGAAAUCGGGGGCUAAUAGCAGAUGAUGCAGCGGCUUGACAUCAAGACAGUUGUUAAAGCUUCGGCGCCUGAAGAUGAGCCUGCGUCUGAUUAGCUAGUUGGCGGAGUAAUGGCCCACCAAGGCUACGAUCAGUAACUGGUCUGAGAGGAUGAUCAGUCACACUGGAACUGAGACACGGUCCAGACUCCUACGGGAGGCAGCAGUAAGGAAUAUUGCUCAAUGGGAGAAAUCCUGAAGCAGCAACGCCGCGUGGAGGGAUGGAAGGGUCUUUUGCUACGUAAACCUCUGUAGUGAGGGAAAAAAUUUCCACUCUGUGGAAUAUGAUGGUACCUCAAAAGUAAGCCCCGGCUAACUACGUG